rnacentral:rRNA from 1 species
UACGGAGGGGGCUAGCGUUGUUCGGAAUUACUGGGCGUAAAGCGCACGUAGGCGGCUUUGUAAGUCAGAGGUGAAAGCCCGGAGCUCAACUCCGGAAUUGCCUUUAAGACUGCAUCGCUAGAAUUGUGGAGAGGUAAGUGGAAUUCCGAGUGUAGAGGUGAAAUUCGUAGAUAUUCGGAAGAACACCAGUGGCGAAGGCGACUUACUGGACACAUAUUGACGCUGAGGUGCGAAAGCGUGGGGAGCAAACAGG